UACGUAGGGGGCAAGCGUUGUCCGGAUUUAUUGGGCGUAAAGAGCGUGUAGGCGGCCAUACAGGUCCGUUGUGAAAACUGGAGGCUUAACCUCCAGACGUCGAUGGAAACCGUAUGGCUAGAGUCCGGAAGAGGAGAGUGGAAUUCCUGGUGUAGCGGUGAAAUGCGCAGAUAUCAGGAAGAACACCCGUGGCGAAGGCGGCUCUCUGAGACGGUACUGACGCUGAGACGCGAAAGCGUGGGGAGCGAACAGG
rnacentral:rRNA from 1 species